UUGGAAAGACAGAAAUUUCUCUGCAUCAUUUUUGGUUAAAAACUGCUUGGAAUUACACUUUGGUUUGCACUAUUAGAGUAAUUUUGAAACUUCAAAAUAUUCCUGGUUGAUUUGGGUUCAAAAAAUGGCCUAAGAAAGUCGUAUUUGCUGUUAUUGAUUUGUUGAUUUGCACUAUUCUACUGUUGCUGAUUUUCUCAUCUUUUUUUGCUCUAAUUUCUGCCCCAGGUACUUUUUGGACCCUAUGAAUUUGUGAAAUGCAAGUGUG
rnacentral:lncRNA from 1 species